GACGAACGCUGGCGGCGUGCUUAACACAUGCAAGUCGAACGGAAAGGCCCUGCGUUUGUGGGGUGCUCGAGUGGCGAACGGGUGAGUAACACGUGAGUAACCUGUCCUUGACUUUGGGAUAACUUCAGGAAACUGGGGCGAAUACCGGAUAGGAGCUCCUGCUGCAUGGUGGGGGAUGGAGAGAUUCGGUGGUUGGGGAUGGACUCGCGGCUUAUCAGCUUGUUGGUGAGGUAGUGGCUUACCAAGGCUUUGACGGGUAGCCGGCCUGAGAGGGUGACCGGCCACAUUGGGACUGAGAUACGGCCCAGACUCCUACGGGAGGCAGUAGUGGGGAAUAUUGCACAGUGGGCGGAAGCCUGAUGCAGCAACGCCGCGUGCGGGAUGACGGCCUUCGGGUUGUAAACCGCUUUCGCCUGUGACGAAGCGUGAGUGACGGUAAUGGGUAAAGAAGCACCGGCUAACUACGUG
rnacentral:rRNA from 1 species